GACAAGGUGGCCGAGCGGUUAAGGCGAUGGACUGCUAAACCGUUGCGUUUUACCCGCGUGGGUUCGAAUUCCACCUUCGUCG
rnacentral:tRNA from 1 species